CACUUCCACUUUUUUUGAUGCAAUAUCCUUAACUUUGACUUGCAGUGAUGCAGAUAACUUGUCGACUAUAUUCUGCAAAUAGACGUCAAUUGUUUUGAAUCAAUACUAAUUAGCUGGUUUUUUCUUCGAAUUGUGCUCUCGUGCCUGAAAUAGAUGAAAGAUGAAAGAAGAAGCCUUAGAGAUAAUUCUCAUUCCCUAUGCAUUUUCUUUGUGCCCAAAACAAAUUUAUUAAUUUACGAUCAUCGA